UACGUAGGGGGCGAGCGUUGUCCGAAGUUACUGGGCGUAAAGGGCGCGUAGGCGGGGCGUCAAGUCCGCUGUGAAAGCCCGGAGCUUAACUCCGGUAGGUCGGUGGAGACUGGCGCUCUUGAAGAGGCUAGAGGGAGAUGGAAUUGCCGGUGUAGUGGUGAAAUGCGUAGAGAUCGGCAGGAACACCCAGGGGGAAACCAGUCGACUGGGCAUCUACUGACGCUGAGGUGCGAGAGCGUGGGGAGCGAACCGG
rnacentral:rRNA from 1 species